rnacentral:rRNA from 1 species
AGCAGCCGCGGUAAUUCCAGCUCCAAUAGCGUAUAUUAAAGUUGUUGCAGUUAAAAAGCUCGUAGUUGAAUUUUGGGUCUGGCCGGGCGGUCCGCCCUCCGGGUGAGUACUGUUCCGACGCCGGGCCUAUCCUUCUGGAGAGUCAGCAUGUCCUUUAUUGGGUGUGCCGGGGAACCAGGACCAUUACCUUGAAAAAAUUAGAGUGUUCAAAGCAGGCGUAUGCUCGGAUACAUUAGCAUGGAAUAAUGAAAUAGGACGCGUGGUGCUAUUUUGUUGGUUUCUAGAACCGCCGUAAUGAUUAAUAGGGAUAGUUGGGGGCAUUAGUAUUCAAUUGUCAGAGGUGAAAUUCUUGGAUUUAUUGAAGACUAACUUCUGCGAAAGCAUUUGCCAAGGAUGUUUUCAUUAAUCAAGAACGAAAGUUAGGGGAUCGAAGACGAUCAGAUACCGUCGUAGUCUUAACCAUAAACUAUGCCGACUAGGAAUCGGGCGAUGUUAUUCUCAUGACUC